CCGGGGUACAGGUAUAUCCGACCAACAUAUGUAAUGCCUGGGACAACACAAUUUCAGCAGGUUUAUGGUUUUCCCACAUAUAUAUACGUCAUUAGCAAUAUGUUUAAGAAAUACAGGGACGCAAUCUUCUACUUCUUUUGAAAUCAAGACGUAACCAUGAGUCCAGUAAUGUUUAUCUCUGAAACACAGAUAAUCCUCAUUCACCUGGAUCAUGAACUCUCCGUAAACAUCCCUGAAUACACCACUGUAUACCCAAUCGUAGAUAAAUCUUGUGUAUGGUU
rnacentral:lncRNA from 1 species